UUAUUUUUUGUGGAUGUCUUUAUUGAGUGAUGUUGUUACUGAUUCUUUUGUUUUGGUUUUAAUUUUUUCAUGAAUAACCCUAAAUGUUAUGCCACUGCCGGACUAUCAAUCUUCAUCGAACAUGUUACAGGAGUCUGAAUCUUCCUCGAAGAGCAAGAGUGAACACGACCAGAGGCAAACUAAUAGUAUUUCGGUAAGCUUAUAA
rnacentral:lncRNA from 1 species